rfam:Stegodyphus mimosarum contig125350, whole genome shotgun sequence.
GGUUCCGUAGUGUAGUGGUUAUCACGUUUGCUUUACACGCAAAAGGUCCCCGGUUCGAUCCCGGGCGGAACCA